rnacentral:rRNA from 1 species
UACGAAGGGGGCUAGCGUUGCUCGGAAUUACUGGGCGUAAAGGGCGCGUAGGCGGAUAGUUUAGUCAGAGGUGAAAGCCCAGGGCUCAACCUUGGAAUUGCCUUUGAUACUGGCUAUCUUGAGUUCGGGAGAGGUGAGUGGAAUGCCGAGUGUAGAGGUGAAAUUCGUAGAUAUUCGGCGGAACACCAGUGGCGAAGGCGGCUCACUGGCCCGUUACCGACGCUCAGGCGCGACAGCGUGGGGAGCAAACAGG